UGGCGGACGGGUGAGUAACGCGUAGGUAUCUAUCCUUGGGUGGGGGACAACAGUGGGAAACUACUGCUAAUACCGCAUGAUGACCGAGGUCCAAAGGUCGCAAGACCGCCUGGGGAGGAGCCUGCGUACGAUUAGCUAGUUGGUGGGGUAAAGGCCUACCAAGGCUACGAUCGUUAGCUGGUCUGAGAGGAUGAUCAGCCACAUUGGGACUGAGACACGGCCCAA
rnacentral:rRNA from 1 species